GACAGGGGCCUCGAGCGUUAGGCGGAAUCACUGGGCUUAAAGCGUGUGUAGGCGGGCCCGUAAGUGUCUUGUGAAAUCCCACGGCUCAACCGUGGAACUGCUGGGCAUACUGCGGGUCUUGGGCCAACUAGGGGCAGCCGGAACAAGCGGUGGAGCGGUGAAAUGCGUAGAUAUCGCUUGGAACGCCGAAGGUGAAAACAGGCUGCUGGGGUUGCGCCGACGCUGAGACACGAAAGCCAGGGGAGCAAACGGG
rnacentral:rRNA from 1 species